UACAGAGGUCCCAAGCGUUGUUCGGAUUCACUGGGCGUAAAGGGUGCGUAGGCGGUUUGAUAAGUCUGAUGUGAAAUCCCGCAGCUUAACUGCGGAACUGCAUUGGAAACUGUUUGACUAGAGGAAUGGAGGGGAGACUGGAAUACUUGGUGUAGCAGUGAAAUGCGUAGAUAUCAAGUGGAACACCGGUGGCGAAGGCGGCUUCCUGGACCGACACUGACGCUGAGGCGCGAAAGCUAGGGGAGCAAACGGG
rnacentral:rRNA from 1 species